rnacentral:sRNA from 1 species
GCCGUACCGGUUAGAUUGGGAUUCUCAUCAAUUAAUUAUUUGAAACGAGUCAAGUUACAGCUGCCAAUGGCGGGCCACAUUCCUUCGGGAAUCUGCACGACAGACGGUGGAUUACAAAGGCAGUUGACAGCUCAAAUCCUAUUUAGUAAGGAGUUUCAUCACAUCAUCGGUACGGCUUUUUU